GUGAAGUAUAGAACAGCUAAUGAGAUUAAUAUGAAGGACUCGGUAGGUUGAUUUAAUUUAUACCUUGAAAUGUGCUUGCUUUGUAAGCUGCUAUUGUUUUAAUAUAUUUUAGUUUUAGGCUGACUAGUUGGUAAUGCUUGAAUUGAUCAAUGCAUGCAUAAUUUAAAAAAGAAGUGUACUUCAUACAAAUGAAGUUGACUCUAGUUCAGGGUAAAAUAUUCAUAGAUGGCGUUGUGGAGUGUACUUCAUACAAAUUUAUUGUUUAUUCAGUAAAUCCAACCCUAAGGAAUUGCAAAUUGAAAUAUAUAAAUUUCCAUUUACCAACUUGUGAAGAUUCCACCAAGGAGCUUCCUCCAAGUUCUUACCUACUUGCUCCAAAUUUUAAAAACAAUGUAUUAUGGAAAAUUUAAGUAGACAUAGACUUCUGUUCUCUUUGUCUCUCCAACACCAAACCCUGUUUCUCUUUUGAUAAUUUGUAUUUUUAAACUCUGAUUGUUUAUUUAGUUUCUUUAUGUUAUAUAAUUAAGAUACGUUGGACAGUGUAAGUUCUGAGGGAAAAGAAGAAUUACCAUGAAGAGAAAUGUGAAUUUGCUAGUGCCAGUUGAAAAAAGUGUGACACUGAGCCACUAACGAGUUGUUUACAAAGAUGAAAGCAUGAAACUGACAUUAGAGUUAGUAGCUUGCAAUCUAAUGAGCUUCAGUUGCUUCAGAUUUUAGUAUCUUUGAAUCAAUACUACCUUAUUUUGCUAGCGUUACCCUCAGUUGGAUCACUGAGAUUGGCAGUAAAAUUAUGUAAUUAUGUUUAUCUAGCAUCAUGUAUCAGUGAGAUCAUUUGAAUACUACUCAUUUGAGCUGCAUUGAGUACUCCUUUCCAGAAUACAGAUUGCGUGGUGUAUGCAAGAACAACAUUUUCAACUUUAAAGCACGGUUAUGCUCAUCCCAGUAAGAACUACAGAUGCAUACAGAGAUAUAUAUAGAACUAUUAAGAAACGAAGCGGGUGACUGAAACACGUCUCCUGGUAAUGCACUAGGGAAACCUCAAACAGUUUAAUUUCAGAAUUUCUGGCUAUUUGAAGUUCUGCAGUUCUCCUGGAAUCAGUAAUACAUACCAAGCCGAAAAAAGAAACUUAAAGAACCAUGGAAAGAUGUUCAGCCUGAUUGCUUCAUCAUCAACAGCAACAUUUGGUGAAAUUAGACUCUUCAUAUAUGUUGAAGCUGAUGAUAUUUUGCUAGAAACAAAGUCAGCUGAAGUUUGUUGACCGAAGAUGCAAAGAAGCCAAAGACGAGAAGCACAACAGCUAGCCUUGGGAGCAGUUGAAUGGAGCUGAUUUUGUGAUGUCUAAACUGAUGUUUUUUGAUGUAUUCAGCAGGGUAUUCAGCUGUAAUUAAGGGGUAGUUAAAUGUAAGGUUUGUAUGCGGUUAAAAUUGUGUGGUGGUGAAUUAUUGUUAGUAAAAUAUUCACUCCAAGUUUAGGUGGACAGUGUCUUAAACCUUUUGUAUAAGUUGAAUCCAUUUUCAAUAAAAA